rnacentral:rRNA from 1 species
AACGAACGCUGGCGGCAUGCCUAACACAUGCAAGUCGAACGAGACCUUCGGGUCUAGUGGCGCACGGGUGCGUAACGCGUGGGAACCUGCCCUUAGGUUCGGAAUAACUCCCCGAAAGGGGUGCUAAUACCGGAUAAUGUCUUCGGACCAAAGAUUUAUCGCCUUUGGAUGGGCCCGCGUUGGAUUAGCUAGUUGGUAGGGUAAAAGCCUACCAAGGCGACGAUCCAUAGCUGGUCUGAGAGGAUGAUCAGCCACACUGGGACUGAGACACGGCCCAGACUCCUACGGGAGGCAGCAGUGGGGAAUAUUGGACAGUGGGCGAAAGCCUGAUCCAGCAAUGCCGCGUGAGUGAUGAAGGCCUUAGGGUUGUAAAGCGCUUUUACCCGGGAUGAUAAUGACAGUACCGGGAGAAUAAGCCCCGGCUAACUCCGUG